rnacentral:rRNA from 1 species
UACAGAGGGGGCAAGCGUUGUUCGGAAUUACUGGGCGUAAAGGGCGCGUAGGCGGGAUGGCAAGUCGGUCGUGAAAUCCUUCGGCUCAACCGAAGAACGUCGGCCGAUACUGCCGUUCUUGAGGGAUGCAGAGGAGAUUGGAAUUCCCGGUGUAGCGGUGAAAUGUGUAGAGAUCGGGAGGAACACCCGUGGCGAAGGCGGCUCACUGGGCUGACCUUGACGCUGAGGCGCGAAGGCGUGGGGAGCGAACGGG